rnacentral:rRNA from 1 species
CGGAGGGUGCAAGCGUUAUCCGGAUUCACUGGGUUUAAAGGGUGCGUAGGAGGGUUGGUAAGUCAGUGGUGAAAUCUCCGAGCUUAACUUGGAAACUGCCGUUGAUACUAUCAAUCUUGAAUAUCGUGGAGGUGAGCGGAACAUGUCAUGUAGCGGUGAAAUGCUUAGAUAUGACAUAGAACACCAAUUGCGAAGGCAGCUCGCUACACGAAUAUUGACUCUGAGGCACGAAAGCGUGGGGAUCAAACAGGAUUAGAUACCCUGGUAGUCCACGCCCUAAACGAUGGAUACUCGACAUACGCGAUACACAGUGUGUGUCUGAGCGAAAGCAUUAAGUAUCCCACCUGGGAAGUACGACCGCAAGGUUG